AUGAAUGACAAAUAUUUGGGGUUACCGACUACCUUAGGGUUGGAUAAAAGUGAUGGCUUCCAAUAUUUGAUUAAUAGUCUCAUUCAGAGAUUGACUGGUUAGAAAGAGAAGUGCCUAUCUUCAGGUGGGAAGGAGGUUUUAAUUAAGUCGGUUGCACAAGCAAUACCAACUUAUGCAAUAUCGUUCUUCAAAAUUCAUAAGAAAACAUGCAAAGAAAUUACUGAUGUGAUGUCACGGUUUCAGUGGGGUGAUGAUGCAAACCACAGAAGAAUGCACUUGUUCACUUGGUGGAAAAUGUGUAUCCCCAAUAGGAAAGGAAGAAUGGGAUCUGGGGACAUUCAUUGCUUUAGUCUCACACUUCUUGCUAAGCGGGCAUGAUGAUUGAUAGAUAACCCCGAUUCUUUAUUUAUGACCAUUUUGAAAGUGAAAUAUUUUUCGGAUGGUGACUUAAUUAAUGACAUUUUGAAAAGGAAAUCUUCCUACACCAGGCAAAGUGUGAUGGCGAGAGUUAACACGAUCAAAUGUGCUCAUAUUUGGAGGGUUGGUAGUGGAGAAAAAACAAAUAUAUGGGAAGAUGCCUGGAUACCACAAUCCCCUACAAAAAUGAUAAUUACUAGUAGAUGUAAUCAUCUCAUCUCACAGGUGUGUGAUCUCAUUGACCCAUCCACUGGAGAGUGGGACAUUCAACUGUGUGUUGAUGCCCAAAGAAUCAUAUCAUUACCCCUUAUGAUGCAUGAAACUAGAAAUUUCGUUUCUUACAGUCUCUCUAAGAAUGACUUGUUCACUAUAUGA
rnacentral:rRNA from 1 species